GUCUUUUUAGUAUAAAAAAUACAAAUAAUUUCCACUUAUUUAUUCUCGGUUUACUCCAAGAAAAGACA
rnacentral:tRNA from 1 species